rnacentral:lncRNA from 1 species
GGGGUUUAGGCUAGUUUGAGACCCCUAUGAACUUGUAUGCUUGAUUGUGUAUGAUUGGGAGUGUUGUAGAAUAGGUUUAUGCAUGUUUGAAAGGUUUGGGAGGCAUUUGUGCAUGUUGGAGCUGAGUUUCUGCCACUUUGGAGAAACUCAGGUUCGGCCGCCGAAGGAACUUUCGGCCGCCGAACCCGCUUGUGGAGGCAGCCUUCGGCUGCCGAAGCCUGCCCCGAAAGAGGACUUUCGUCUCUGGAGGGCAGUUUCGGCCGCCGAAAGUGCCGCCGAACAUGCAUGAGUUUCGUCUCUGUCUGGG